GGUUAAGCGACUAAGCGUACACGGUGGAUGCCCUGGCAGUCAGAGGCGAUGAAGGACGUGCUAAUCUGCGAAAAGCGUCGGUAAGGUGAUAUGAACCGUUAUAGCCGGCGAUGUCCGAAUGGGGAAACCCAGUGUGAUUCGUCACACUAUCGUUAACUGAAUACAUAGGUUAACGAGGCGAACCGGGGGAACUGAAACAUCUAAGUACCCCGAGGAAAAGAAAUCAACCGAGAUUCCCCCAGUAGCGGCGAGCGAACGGGGAGCAGCCCAGAGUCUGAAUCAGCUUGUGUGUUAGUGGAACGGUCUGGAAAGUCCGACGGUACAGGGUGAUAGUCCCGUACACCAAAAUGCACAGGCUGUGAACUCGAAGAGUAGGGCGGGACACGUGGUAUCCUGUCUGAAUAUGGGGGGACCAUCCUCCAAGGCUAAAUACUCCUGACUGACCGAUAGUGAACCAGUACCGUGAGGGAAAGGCGAAAAGAACCCCGGCGAGGGGAGUGAAAAAGAACCUGAAACCGUGUACGUACAAGCAGUGGGAGCACCUUCGGGUGUGACUGCGUACCUUUUGUAUAAUGGGUCAGCGACUUAUAUUCUGUAGCAAGGUUAACCGUAUAGGGGAGCCGCAGGGAAACCGAGUCUUAACUGGGCGUUAAGUUGCAGGGUAUAGACCCGAAACCCGGUGAUCUAGCCAUGGGCAGGUUGAAGGUUGGGUAACACUAACUGGAGGACCGAACCGACUAAUGUUGAAAAAUUAGCGGAUGACUUGUGGCUGGGGGUGAAAGGCCAAUCAAACCGGGAGAUAGCUGGUUCUCCCCGAAAGCUAUUUAGGUAGCGCCUCGUGAAUUCAUCUUCGGGGGUAGAGCACUGUUUCGGCUAGGGGGUCAUCCCGACUUACCAACCCGAUGCAAACUACGAAUACCGAAGAAUGUUAUCACGGGAGACACACGGCGGGUGCUAACGUCCGUCGUGAAGAGGGAAACAACCCAGACCGCCAGCUAAGGUCCCAAAGUCAUGGUUAAGUGGGAAACGAUGUGGGAAGGCACAGACAGCCAGGAUGUUGGCUUAGAAGCAGCCAUCAUUUAAAGAAAGCGUAAUAGCUCACUGGUCGAGUCGGCCUGCGCGGAAGAUGUAACGGGGCUAAACCAUGCACCGAAGCUGCGGCAGCGACACUAUGUGUUGUUGGGUAGGGGAGCGUUCUGUAAGCCUGCGAAGGUGUGCUGUGAGGCAUGCUGGAGGUAUCAGAAGUGCGAAUGCUGACAUAAGUAACGAUAAAGCGGGUGAAAAGCCCGCUCGCCGGAAGACCAAGGGUUCCUGUCCAACGUUAAUCGGGGCAGGGUGAGUCGACCCCUAAGGCGAGGCCGAAAGGCGUAGUCGAUGGGAAACAGGUUAAUAUUCCUGUACUUGGUGUUACUGCGAAGGGGGGACGGAGAAGGCUAUGUUAGCCGGGCGACGGUUGUCCCGGUUUAAGCAUGUAGGCUGAUUGUCCAGGCAAAUCCGGAUAAUCAAGGCUGAGGUGUGAUGACGAGGCACUACGGUGCUGAAGUAACAAAUGCCCUGCUUCCAGGAAAAGCCUCUAAGCAUCAGGUAACAUCAAAUCGUACCCCAAACCGACACAGGUGGUCAGGUAGAGAAUACCAAGGCGCUUGAGAGAACUCGGGUGAAGGAACUAGGCAAAAUGGUGCCGUAACUUCGGGAGAAGGCACGCUGGUGUGUAGGUGAAGUCCCUGCGGAUGGAGCUGAGACCAGUCGAAGAUACCAGCUGGCUGCAACUGUUUAUUAAAAACACAGCACUGUGCAAACACGAAAGUGGACGUAUACGGUGUGACGCCUGCCCGGUGCCGGAAGGUUAAUUGAUGGGGUUAUCCGUAAGGAGAAGCUCUUGAUCGAAGCCCCGGUAAACGGCGGCCGUAACUAUAACGGUCCUAAGGUAGCGAAAUUCCUUGUCGGGUAAGUUCCGACCUGCACGAAUGGCGUAAUGAUGGCCAGGCUGUCUCCACCCGAGACUCAGUGAAAUUGAACUCGCUGUGAAGAUGCAGUGUACCCGCGGCAAGACGGAAAGACCCCGUGAACCUUUACUAUAGCUUGACACUGAACAUUGAGCCUUGAUGUGUAGGAUAGGUGGGAGGCUUUGAAGCGUGGACGCCAGUCUGCGUGGAGCCAACCUUGAAAUACCACCCUUUAAUGUUUGAUGUUCUAACGUUGGCCCCUGACCGGGGUUGCGGACAGUGUCUGGUGGGUAGUUUGACUGGGGCGGUCUCCUCCCAAAGCGUAACGGAGGAGCACGAAGGUUAGCUAAUCCUGGUCGGACAUCAGGAGGUUAGUGCAAUGGCAUAAGCUAGCUUGACUGCGAGCGUGACGGCGCGAGCAGGUGCGAAAGCAGGUCAUAGUGAUCCGGUGGUUCUGAAUGGAAGGGCCAUCGCUCAACGGAUAAAAGGUACUCCGGGGAUAACAGGCUGAUACCGCCCAAGAGUUCAUAUCGACGGCGGUGUUUGGCACCUCGAUGUCGGCUCAUCACAUCCUGGGGCUGAAGUAGGUCCCAAGGGUAUGGCUGUUCGCCAUUUAAAGUGGUACGCGAGCUGGGUUUAGAACGUCGUGAGACAGUUCGGUCCCUAUCUGCCGUGGGCGCUGGAGAAUUGAGGGGGGCUGCUCCUAGUACGAGAGGACCGGAGUGGACGCAUCACUGGUGUUCGGGUUGUCAUGCCAAUGGCACUGCCCGGUAGCUAAAUGCGGAAGAGAUAAGUGCUGAAAGCAUCUAAGCACGAAACUUGCCCCGAGAUGAGUUCUCCCUGAGACUUUAAGUCUCCUGAAGGAACGUUAAAGACGAUGACGUUGAUAGGCCGGGUGUGUAAGCGCAGCGAUGCGUUGAGCUAACCGGUACUAAUGAACCGUGAGGCUUAACCUU
rnacentral:rRNA from 1 species